GAGUGGGUCUUAUGCAAUGGAAAUCCGCGAACCGUGUCAGGUCGGGAACGAAGCAGCACUAAGUGGAACCUUUCAUGUGUUGUAAGGUCGCCUGCUUCUU
rnacentral:SRP_RNA from 1 species